rnacentral:snRNA from 1 species
UUGCUUUGGCAGCAUAUAUAUUAAAAUUGGAACAAUACGGAAAAUAUUAGCAUGGCCCUGUGCAAAAAUAAUAUUCUAUACUUUUGAGGAAAAAGAUUAAU